AGUGAACGCUGGCGGUAGGCCUAACACAUGCAAGUCGAACGGCAGCACAGUAAGAGCUUGCUCUUACGGGUGGCGAGUGGCGGACGGGUGAGGAAUACAUCGGAAUCUACUUUUUCGUGGGGGAUAACGUAGGGAAACUUACGCUAAUACCGCAUACGACCUACGGGUGAAAGCAGGGGAUCUUCGGACCUUGCGCGAUUGAAUGAGCCGAUGUCGGAUUAGCUAGUUGGCGGGGUAAGGGCCCACCAAGGCGACGAUGCGUAGCUGGUCUGAGAGGAUGAUCAGCCACACUGGAACUGAGACACGGUCCAGACUCCUACGGGAGGCAGCAGUGGGGAAUAUUGGACAAUGGGCGCAAGCCUGAUCCAGCCAUACCGCGUGGGUGAAGAAGGCCUUCGGGUUGUAAAGCCCUUUUGUUGGGAAAGAAAAGCAGCAGGUUAAUACCCCGCUGUUCUGACGGUACCCAAAGAAUAAGCACCGGCUAACUUCGUG
rnacentral:rRNA from 1 species